rnacentral:rRNA from 1 species
UACGGAGGGGGCAAGCGUUGUUCGGAAUUACUGGGCGUAAAGGGCGCGCAGGCGGCUGCUCAAGUCAGGCGUGAAAGGCCUGGGCUCAACCCGGGAAUUGCGCUUGAGACUGGGCUGGCUUGAGUGCGGGAGAGGGAUGCAGAAUUCCAGGUGUAGCGGUGAAAUGCGUAGAUAUCUGGAGGAAUACCGGUGGCGAAGGCGGCAUCCUGGACCGGCAUUGACGCUGAUGAGCGAAAGCUAGGGGAGCAAACGGG